rnacentral:rRNA from 2 species
UCGACGAACUCUGGUAUUGAUUGGUGCUUGCAUCAUGAUUUACAUUUGAGUGAGUGGCGAACUGGUGAGUAACACGUGGGAAACCUGCCCAGAAGCGGGGGAUAACACCUGGAAACAGAUGCUAAUACCGCAUAACAACUUGGACCGCAUGGUCCGAGUUUGAAAGAUGGCUUCGGCUAUCACUUUUGGAUGGUCCCGCGGCGUAUUAGCUAGAUGGUGGGGUAACGGCUCACCAUGGCAAUGAUACGUAGCCGACCUGAGAGGGUAAUCGGCCACAUUGGGACUGAGACACGGCCCAAACUCCUACGGGAGGCAGCAGUAGGGAAUCUUCCACAAUGGACGAAAGUCUGAUGGAGCAACGCCGCGUGAGUGAAGAAGGGUUUCGGCUCGUAAAACUCUGUUGUUAAAGAAGAACAUAUCUGAGAGUAACUGUUCAGGUAUUGACGGUAUUUAACCAGAAAGCCACGGCUAACUACGUGCCAGCAGCCGCGGUAAUACGUAGGUGGCAAGCGUUGUCCGGAUUUAUUGGGCGUAAAGCGAGCGCAGGCGGUUUUUUAAGUCUGAUGUGAAAGCCUUCGGCUCAACCGAAGAAGUGCAUCGGAAACUGGGAAACUUGAGUGCAGAAGAGGACAGUGGAACUCCAUGUGUAGCGGUGAAAUGCGUAGAUAUAUGGAAGAACACCAGUGGCGAAGGCGGCUGUCUGGUCUGUAACUGACGCUGAGGCUCGAAAGUAUGGGUAGCAAACAGGAUUAGAUACCCUGGUAGUCCAUACCGUAAACGAUGAAUGCUAAGUGUUGGAGGGUUUCCGCCCUUCAGUGCUGCAGCUAACGCAUUAAGCAUUCCGCCUGGGGAGUACGGCCGCAAGGCUGAAACUCAAAGGAAUUGACGGGGGCCCGCACAAGCGGUGGAGCAUGUGGUUUAAUUCGAAGCUACGCGAAGAACCUUACCAGGUCUUGACAUACUAUGCAAAUCUAAGAGAUUAGACGUUCCCUUCGGGGACAUGGAUACAGGUGGUGCAUGGUUGUCGUCAGCUCGUGUCGUGAGAUGUUGGGUUAAGUCCCGCAACGAGCGCAACCCUUAUUAUCAGUUGCCAGCAUUAAGUUGGGCACUCUGGUGAGACUGCCGGUGACAAACCGGAGGAAGGUGGGGAUGACGUCAAAUCAUCAUGCCCCUUAUGACCUGGGCUACACACGUGCUACAAUGGAUGGUACAACGAGUUGCGAACUCGCGAGAGUAAGCUAAUCUCUUAAAGCCAUUCUCAGUUCGGAUUGUAGGCUGCAACUCGCCUACAUGAAGUCGGAAUCGCUAGUAAUCGCGGAUCAGCAUGCCGCGGUGAAUACGUUCCCGGGCCUUGUACA